UACGUAGGGGGCUAGCGUUGUCCGGAAUCAUUGGGCGUAAAGCGCGUGUAGGCGGUCCGGUAAGUCCGCUGUGAAAGUCGAGGGCUCAACCCUCGAAUGCCGGUGGAUACUGUCGUGACUGGAGUCCGGUAGGGGAGUGGGGAAUUCCUGGUGUAGCGGUGAAAUGCGCAGAUAUCAGGAGGAACACCGGUGGCGAAGGCGCCACUCUGGGCCGGUACUGACGCUGAGGAGCGAAAGCGUGGGUAGCAAACAGG
rnacentral:rRNA from 1 species